rnacentral:lncRNA from 1 species
AUGUUGUAUCUUUCUUGUCUCCUUCAAUCUUAUUGCCUUGUAGAUAGGAGAGAGGGAAGGAGGGAGGGAGGGAGAGAGAGAGAGAGACAGAGACAGAGACAGAGACAGAGACAGAGACAGAGAGACAGAGACAGAGAGAGAGGGAGAGACAGAGAGAGACAGAGAGAGAGAGAGGGAAAGGGAGAAGAAAGAGAGAGAAAAAGGCAAAGGAGACAGAGGGAGAGAGAGGAAGACAAAGGAAGGAAGGAAGGAAGGAAGGAAUGAAGGAAGGAAGGAAGGAAGGAAGGAAAGCAAUGGGGGGAAAAAGCAUUUAUUAAGUGUUUACUUUUUCCAGACACUGGGCUAAGCACUUGGGGAUAAAAAAAAAACAAAAAAACAAGAUAGUCCCUACACUCAAAAAACAUAUAUCCUAAAAAGGGAACACAAAAUAUAAAAGUAAUAAGGUUGAAGGGAAAGGCUGCUCUAGAGAGUAAGCUGAAGCUAGGAGUGAAGGGACAGUAGUAGUAACAUAAUACUCAACAAAGUCACUGACAUUUAAAGCUCUUUACAGCCAGGCCCAUACUGCCUUUCCAGCCAUAGUAUACAUUACUACCCUUUAUACAUUCUAGUGUUCAGCCAGACUAGCUUUCUUCCUAUACUCAUUCCUUCAUUCAUAAUACCCCAUUAUCCAUCUCUAUAUCUUUGCAAUGGCUAUCUCCCUGCCUAUAAUGCCUUUCCUCUGUACCUCUACUAGGAAAAAAAACAACUUUCAUUUCUCAUUUCUCUCUUGAAAGCUCUCAUUUCCUUCAAUAUUUAGCUCAAAUGCUACCUUCUGUAGGAAACCUUUCCUCUUAGCUAGUAACGAUCCUUCAGGUUACCUCCUAUCUGUUGUGUAUGUUAAGUAUAUGUGCAUGUCUCCCCCAUCAGAAUAUAGGCUUCUUAAGAGCUGAGACUCCUUUGCUUUUGUCUUUGUAUUCUCCAGCUCCUGGCAGAAUGCAAGGUGCCAAACAAGUCUUUAAUAAAUACUUGGUUGACUGAUUCA